ensembl:lincRNA
AUGGGGACAAACGUACAAAGAAAUAGUUAAGAGCAGGAUAGCUGCCUUAGGGAAUUAGAAUAGACAGGAUGAGACAGGGAGGGGAGGCCACGGCCCGGAGCCGGGCUGUCGGGGACAGUGCGGUCCACACACCUCUGUCUCAGCGUGCAGAUGACAGUCCCAGAGCCCAUCCACUGAGGCAUAGUAUGUGCUAGGCUAACGCGCAUGUGUGUGUGCGCGCGUGCGCACGUGUGUAGUGGGCAUACAACCAACCCUGGGAAGAGGCUGUAAUAUCAGGCCCUAGAGCUGAGUCAAAACACCUUAAACAAUUUAGAAAAGGCAUCUAAUAAAAUUCAGUACAGGACCUAUUUAUGGUUUCAAACAAAAUCUUGGGAAACUACAAACGGAACCUCUUAAAUGUUUAAUCUCCACAAGAACUUGAAAAGGUGAGUACUAUUAUUACUGGCACUUAUUGGGGGUUUUUUAAUUUACUUUUUGGUACUUGGGAUCAAACCAGGGCCUUUGCACUGGACUACAGCUUCGGUCCUGUUCUGUUCUGUUUUGUACAGGAUCUCACUAAGUUUGCUAAAUUGUUUGAGCUGGGCUCCAACUUGCAAAAUCUCCUGCCUUAGCCUCCCAGAGUGCUGGAACACAGGAGUACCACCAUACCCAGCUUCAGAUAAGGAUCGUCAGUUCACAGUGGUCGUUUUGGUGCAGACAUCUGUGAACGUGGGGAUGGAGCGAAGCCCGGGGAAAGGACGACAGGGCUAGAUCCUAGAGCUGACUCAGACCAGAAAUGGACAUCUUGAGAGAUUCAGAAGAGUCAGCACUCAUUCAUGUUUUUGAACAAAAUCUUAAGAAACUAGAAUAAAAAAGAACUUUGUUAAACUAAUAAAGUAUAUCUACAAGAAGUUUUCCAAAAUAUUGUACUUUGGAAUUUAAAAGAUCACAAGAUAUAGAAUGAUUAUACAACAUCAAUUACGUAUCAAUACAAUGGUAACAAAUAGAAUAAUUUUUAAAAACAAUAUUGUUUAGUAUAGUAAACCAAACACCUAGGAAUAAAUCUAAAGAAAUAUGUAUAAGAAAAAAAAAAGAAAUAUGUAUAAGAACUCUACACUGAUAGCAAUCAAAAAAUACCUAAAAAAUGGAGAGAUAUACCAUGUUCAUGGAUUGAAAUACUCAGUAAUGUCAAGAUGACAGUUUUCCAUGAAUUGCUCUAUGAAACUUUCUUUCUUUCUUUUUUUUUUUUUUUUUUUUUUUUUUGGUUUUUCUCCGGUACCGGGAACCGAACUCACGACCUUGCGCUUGCCAGGCAGGCGCUUUUGCCACUGAGCUAAAUCCCCAGCGCGAAACUUUCUUUUUUUGAGACAGAAUCUCACUACAUAGAUCAGGCUGGCCUUAGACUCACUAUAUAGCCCAGGCUGGCCUCGAAAUCAUGGUGAUCCUCCUGCCUCAGCCUCUGGAGUGCUGGAAUGACAGGCAUGCACCACCACACCUGGCUUCCACAAAUUAAUCUAGAGAUUCAUCACAAUCUUAAUCAAAAACAUAUUUUUCACAGAAAUUGACAAGUUGUUUCUAAAAUACAUAUAAAACUGUAAAAGGCCAAAAAUAACAGCUAAGUCAAUUUCAGAAAACAAAGCUGGACAACUUCCACUUCCAGGCAUAAGGACUCAUUGUAAAGUUUUAAUAAUCAAGACUAUGCCAUGCUGGCACAAGGGUAGAUAGGCUCACCAACAGAACAGAAUAUGGAGUCCAAAAAGAACCACACAUGAGCACUCAUUUGGUUUAUGAAAAGUGCCUCAUUGUAGUAAAGUGAUAAAAGAUUCUAGAUCCAUUGAAUAGCCACAUGAGAAAAAAAUACCCAGGCUGCACUCUCACAAUGCACACCAAAAAUCAACUCCAGGUGAAGGGAAGAUAGAAAUAUAAAAGAUAAAAAUGUAAAACAUUUAAAUUAAAGCAGAGGAAAACAUCCUUGUGCUAUUGGUGUAGCAAACUUAUCUUUUUUUAAAAAAUUAAACAUAGUUCAGAGACAGAGAAAAACAGUUUAGCUUUUCCUCUCUCUCCUCUUGACUCUCACACAGCCGCUCUACACUCCGGCAUCAGCCGAUGCUGGCUGGGUCUCUAAUUCAGUUCACUUCCAGCACUGCUGACCUGGAGACAGGAUCAGAUCCCACAGGCUGAGCCCCACAAGACCGGCACCCAGUCCAGAUGCCGGCUGUAAACACAGGUCGUCACUAGGUGUAAAGUGGGGCUCCCACAGCCCCUUCUUGGGCUCGGUUACUUUGCUUUGCUAAACCAGCUCAUAGAAUUCAGAGAAACACCCUACUUAAUUUUACACCUUUAUCAGUAAAGGACAUAAUAAAUGAUAGAGAGGAAGAAAUAGCGUGUGGUGUGGAUGGGCCCUAAGCAUGAGAGCUUCUGUCCUCGUAAACCUCUUGGAACCCCAUGACGGGGAAUUUUUAUGUAGGCUUCAGCCUGUAGGCAUGAUCAAC